GUAUCUUUACUUCCGCCAGCGCCCAUCGUGAAGAGUGAAGCUUCCUGUCGCGUGGUUCGGGCUGCUGUCUGUCCAGUGCCAUCCUCCGAAAUCUGUAGACAUCUUGUGUGCUCCCGGGCUGUCUGCUCCUCUGCCCAGUGUAGAGCGCCCAGGCCGGUUGGCUGUGCAGCCCUCCUGGAAACCGAUGGAAGCUCCGUGGGUCGGCAGAUUGCGGCUUCUGCAGCAGCUGGGGCCUCCCUACUCUCUUCAGCUCACCGGUGGGCGCCCACUGUCCAGGGAGAGGAUGCUUGGUUGUUAAGCCACAGACAACAGAAUGACGAGACUCUGGGUACAGUUCAGGUCCAUGUUGCGUAUUGGGAAUCCCUUACAGAUUUCAAAGGAAGUGGAGAGGGGAGAGUCCUUGCCACGUGGUUUGCUGGCUGGCAGCUUCUGUGUCUGGUAUUCUGGGUGCUGUUCAGGUGGUUCACCUGGGCUUAUCGCUUGCAGAAAUAACAGCUUGGGUGCACAACGGCCGUAAGAGCUGUCUCCAUCCUGCCAGACUGACGGACCAUGGUGCUCCCGAGUGAGGAUCGUCCCCUGGCAUCUGGAGCUCCCACAUGAAUAUGCGCAGUUUCCCAGACGGCAUUUGAGUGUGUGGAGCCAGGUGCACCCCAGUGCCACUAGAGAACAGUGCUCCCCAGAUACCAUGGCCCUGCUGUGCUUCUGAGCAGCCCACACGGCUGAGCAUCAGGCUUGUCUCCAGAGAGCUCCGGUGUCUCCUCCAGGAUUGUCAGCUGAUCUCUGCCAUGUCUGUCAGCAGUCCUCAAGUUUCAAGAAGUGGCCGGAACAGCGUCCUUGCCAGGUGUUAAUCCCAGAUGCUUCACAGGAGAGCCCCAGUUGUCCAGCAAAGACCUCUGUCAUGAGGAAAAGCAGAAGCUGCUUCCCCACCCAGGCCAGCAGGGACAUGCCUCCCUCAGCCUCUGCCACCUCACUUCUGUACAUCUUUGUGGGGUGAAGUGGAUGCUUACAGAGCCACUCGGCACAGGAGCCCCUGGGACGUCAUGUUCCCCUCAGUUCAUUCGGGUGUUCGUGUACACCAGAGGGCCAGGGAGGGAGUGGACAGCAAGACCAUCACUCCAAGUGAAACUGGAGACUGCCCACUCAGCAUCAUGGAACAGCUUUUUAUUGUGUUUAGUAAUGGCAUGGCAGACUCCUGCACCUUGGAGGGCUGUCCUGUCCCCAUCUGCUAGUGCCUGCAGUGACUAGUGACAAGAGCGUUUCUGUUGAACUUGUUGCCAGCUUUUCUGCUACCUCCUCAAUUGUGCAAUAAACUUUACAGAUUAA